AGUUGUCUUGUGGUUUUGGGAACAUAUUGACAAAAGGUAGAAGACUUGUCAAAUUUGAGACUUUCUUUUUCUCUCCCAUGCUUUCCAUGUAUUGUCUAGAUUUUUCUGAUGGAUUUUUCAAUGUCGAUUGCCUUUUCUCAUUACAAAUUUAAUUUUCAGGCUUAAACAAGUGGCUUCUGUAAAUCAUAAAGAAUGCCAAAGAAAGAAGUUCAAAUCAAACACUCAAUCUAGUAUUCA
rnacentral:lncRNA from 1 species